UGUCUGCUUCGGUCCCAUUCUUCUUAGCUUUUUAUGUUCCAUCCUUUUAUAAUAGUUAAAUAUACCUUUUUAUAUGUACAUGUUUUUUAUUCCUUCAUAGUUUUGAAUACAGUGUUAAGAAUUUCAUUUUAGAAUGAAGAACCCUAUUCAAACAUUUGAUGAUAGCUGCACCACCACUACCAAUUCCAUAACCCACGAGAACCUCCUUUCAGUGGAGUUUAUGAUGACAUCAGUCCCACCCUGUCAUGACGUGUGCUCUUUCAAUCUUAGUGCCUAUGCCUUCUUUACUUAUUCUGCUCUCCAGCAGACUCUGCCUUUCCAUUAAUCACUCAUCAUUCAACAUUCUUC
rnacentral:lncRNA from 1 species